GGCCGUCCAGCGCUCGCCUUAGGUGGCGACAAGCCGCAACCCGACGGCGCCCUCCUCCUCCUCCUCCCCGGAGCGGCGCCGCCGCUACACGCCGGCCGCCUCCCACUCCGCCUCCGCCUCCUCCGCGCCCCCCUCAUCUUCUUCUUCUUCUUCUCCUCCUCCUCCUCCUCCAAUACGGUGUACUGCUUCUCCGCCUUCCUCGGUUGGUAUAGCUGCUGCGGUGUUGCUGCCGCGAGAUCAAAGGAACGUUUGCCGCUGCUGUUGCGUGGUGUGUGAAGGGCUGGCGAGAGGAGGGGGGAGAGGAGAAUGGAGGCGGCGGCGGCGGCGGCUUCGGCGGCGGAGGCGCACCACCAGCACCACCA
rnacentral:lncRNA from 1 species